rnacentral:tRNA from 1 species
AGUCCCGUAGCUCAGUUGGCAGAGCACUACACUGAUAAUGUAGGGGUCAGCGGUUCAAAUCCGCUCGGGACUA